CACGUAGGGCGCGAGCGUUGUCCGGAAUUAUUGGGCGUAAAGAGCUCGUAGGCGGCCUGUUGCGUCCGCUGUGAAAAGCCCCGGGGCUUAACCCCGGGUCGGCAGUGGAUACGGGCAGGCUGGAGGCAGGCAGGGGGAGAACGGAAUUCCCGGUGUAGCGGUGAAAUGCGCAGAUAUCGGGAGGAACACCGGUGGCGAAGGCGGUUCUCUGGGCCUGUACUGACGCUGAGGAGCGAAAGCGUGGGGGAGCGAACAGG
rnacentral:rRNA from 1 species